CGUAGGGUGCUAGCGUUGUUCGGAAUCAUUGGGCGUAAAGCGCGUGUAGGCGGUUUGUUAAGUCGAAUGUGAAAUCCCCCCGGCUCAACCGAGGAAGUGCAUUCGAAACUAACUAGCUAGAAGAUGGCAGAGGAAGGUGGAAUUCCAAGUGUAGAGGUGAAAUUCGUAGAUAUUUGGAGGAAUACCGGUGGCGAAGGCGGCCUUCUGGACCAUUCUUGACGCUGAGACGCGAAAGCGUGGGUAGCAAACAGGAUUAGAUACCCUGGUAGUCCACGCCGUAAACGAUGGGUACUAGAUGUUGCAGGAAUUGACCCCUGCAGUGUCGACGCUAACGCAUUAAGUACCCCGCCUGGGAAGUACGGCCGCAAGGUUA
rnacentral:rRNA from 1 species